UACGGGGGGGGCAAGCGUUGUUCGGAAUUACUGGGCGUAAAGGGCUCGUAGGCGGCCAACUAAGUCAGACGUGAAAUCCCUCGGCUUAACCGGGGAACUGCGUCUGAUACUGGAUGGCUUGAAUCCGGGAGAGGGAUGCGGAAUUCCAGGUGUAGCGGUGAAAUGCGUAGAUAUCUGGAGGAACACCGGUGGCGAAGGCGGCAUCCUGGACCGGCAUUGACGCUGAGGAGCGAAAGCCAGGGAGCAAACGGGG
rnacentral:rRNA from 1 species